rnacentral:rRNA from 1 species
CAAUAGCGUAUAUUAAAGUUGUUGCAGUUAAAAAGCUCGUAGUUGAACUUCAGGCUUGGCGGGGUGGUCUGCCUCACGGUAUGUACUACCCGGCCGAGCCUUACCUCCUGGUGAGCCUGCAUGCCGUUUAUUCGGUGUGUAGGGGAACCAGGAAUUUUACUUUGAAAAAAUUAGAGUGUUCAAAGCAGGCAUAUGCCCGAAUACAUUAGCAUGGAAUAAUAGAAUAGGACGUGCGGUUCUAUUUUGUUGGUUUCUAGGGUCGCCGUAAUGAUUAAUAGGGACGGUUGGGGGCAUUAGUAUUCAGUUGCUAGAGGUGAAAUUCUUAGAUUUACUGAAGAUUAACUACUGCGAAAGCAUUUGCCAAGGACGUUUUCAUUAA